GAAAGAUGGUCAUUAAUAGUUAAGGUUGUUUAGUUUUGUUUUAAUUAAAAUAAUUUUAUGAAGAGUUGUUUUAGUAUAUUUUAUAGAAAUAAUAAGAUUAUUUAUAGUGUAGUAGUAUCGUGGGAGAAUUAUGAAAUAAUUGAAAAUUUAUUUUUUAAAAAGUAGAUUUAUUCAUUGUACCUUGUGUAUCAGGGUUUAUCAAUAAUUUUGUAUAGAAUAUAUAAUUCUCGAGUUAAAAAGAGCUAAUGUAAUAUGCGAGUUAAUGUAAUAUAUUUAUUAGUAAUAUUAUGUUAGUAAUGAAACGUUAGGCGUUUUUUAAGAUAUCUAGUUUUCUAAGAAAUGAAUUUAAUUCAGUUUAGUUUAUGUAAUUGUUUGAAUUGUUAAGUAAUUAUUUAAAUUAGAAAAUAAUUCGGGGGAUAAGCUUUGAAUUGGAAACUAUAAAUUUGUAAAAUUUAAUUUAAAAGUGUAGGCUUUAAAUUAGCCAGCUAUUGAAUGAUGUUGUAAAUUAUUUUAUAAAAAUAUGAUUUUAUAGAGAAUUUGGUUUGUAUAUUGGAAUGAUUUAAAUAAUAAAGGAUUAUUUGAAAUAAUGAUAAAAUUAGUAUAAUUGGAUGUAUGGGGUAUUUGUAUUUAAAGUUUAUAUUAAGGAAUUAGGCAAAUUUUAAUAUUCGCCUGUUUAACAAAAACAUGUCUUUUAGUGUAUAAUUUAAAGUCGGGCCUGCCCACUGAUUAAAUUGAAGGGCCGCGGUAUUUUGACCGUGCAAAGGUAGCAUAAUCAUUAGUUUUUUAAUUGAAGGCUGGAAUGAAUGGUUUGACGAAAUAUUAGCUGUCUCAAUAUAAUAAAUAGAAGUUAACUUUUGAGUUAAAAGGCUUAAAUGAAAAUGGAGGACGAGAAGACCCUAUAGAGCUUUAUAUAUUAUAUAAUAAUUUAUUGUAGAAUAUUGAGAAUGUUUAUAGAAAUAUAUUGUGUUGGGGUGACAUAAAGAUUUAAAUAACUCUUUGUGAAAAUUACAUUGAUUUAUGAAUAAUUGAUCCAUUAAUAUUGAUUGUAAGAUAAAGUUACCUUAGGGAUAACAGCGUAAUUUUUUUUAAGAGUUCAUAUCAACAAGAAAGAUUGCGACCUCGAUGUUGGAUUAAGGAAUAUAGUUAGGUGUAGAAGUUUAAUUAAUAGGUCUGUUCGACCUUUAAAUCCUUACAUGAUCUGAGUUCAAACCGGUGUAAGCCAGGUUGGUUUCUAUCCUCAUUAAAUGAAAAAUAUUUUAGUACGAAAGGACCAAAUAUUUGAAAUAAUUUUGUUUAGGAUGAUUAUUAUUA
rnacentral:rRNA from 1 species